UACAGAGACCUCAAGCGUUAUCCGGAUUUAUUGGGCGUAAAGCGCAGGUAGGUGGUUUCAUUAGUCGGGCGUCAAAGCCCCGGGCUCAACCUGGGAAAGGCGUUCGAAACGGUGGAACUCGAGUAUGUGAGAGAUCGGUGGAAUUGAUGGUGUAGUAGUGAAAUGCGUUGAUAUCAUCAAGAACACCCAAGGCGAAGGCAACCGAUUAGCACAUUACUGACACUCAGCUGCGAAAGCGUGGGUAGCGAAUGGG
rnacentral:rRNA from 1 species